GAUUAAGUUAUUAAGGGCGCACGGUGGAUGCCUUGGCACUAGAAGCCGAUGAAGGACGUUACUAACGACGAUAUGCUUUGGGUAGCUGUAAGUAAGCGUUGAUCCAGAGAUUUCCGAAUGGGGGAACCCAGCAUGAGUUAUGUCAUGUUAUCGACAUGUGAAUUCAUAGCAUGUCAGAAGGCAGACCCGGAGAACUGAAACAUCUUAGUACCCGGAGGAAGAGAAAGAAAAAUCGAUUCCCUGAGUAGCGGCGAGCGAAACGGGAAGAGCCCAAACCAACAAGCUUGCUUGUUGGGGUUGUAGGACACUCUAUACGGAGUUACAAAAGAACAUGUUAGACGAAUCAUCUGGAAAGAUGAAUCAAAGAAGGUAAUAAUCCUGUAGUCGAAAACAUAUUCUCUCUUGAGUGGAUCCUGAGUACGACGGAGCACGUGAAAUUCCGUCGGAAUCUGGGAGGACCAUCUCCUAAGGCUAAAUACUCUCUAGUGACCGAUAGUGAACCAGUACCGUGAGGGAAAGGUGAAAAGUACCCCGGAAGGGGAGUGAAAGAGAACUUGAAACCGUGUGCUUACAAGUAGUCAGAGCCCGUUAAUGGGUGAUGGCGUGCCUUUUGUAGAAUGAACCGGCGAGUUACGAUCUGAUGCAAGGUUAAGCAGCAAAUGUGGAGCCGCAGCGAAAGCGAGUCUGAAUAGGGCGUUGAGUAUUUGGUCGUAGACCCGAAACCAGGUGAUCUACCCUUGGUCAGGUUGAAGUUCAGGUAACACUGAAUGGAGGACCGAACCGACUUACGUUGAAAAGUGAGCGGAUGAACUGAGGGUAGCGGAGAAAUUCCAAUCGAACUUGGAGAUAGCUGGUUCUCUCCGAAAUAGCUUUAGGGCUAGCCUCAAGUGAUGAUUAUUGGAGGUAGAGCACUGUUUGGACGAGGGGCCCCUCUCGGGUUACCGAAUUCAGACAAACUCCGAAUGCCAAUUAAUUUAACUUGGGAGUCAGAACAUGGGUGAUAAGGUCCGUGUUCGAAAGGGAAACAGCCCAGACCACCAGCUAAGGUCCCAAAAUAUAUGUUAAGUGGAAAAGGAUGUGGCGUUGCCCAGACAACUAGGAUGUUGGCUUAGAAGCAGCCAUCAUUUAAAGAGUGCGUAAUAGCUCACUAGUCGAGUGACACUGCGCCGAAAAUGUACCGGGGCUAAACAUAUUACCGAAGCUGUGGAUUGUCCUUUGGACAAUGGUAGGAGAGCGUUCUAAGGGCGUCGAAGCAUGAUCGCAAGGACAUGUGGAGCGCUUAGAAGUGAGAAUGCCGGUGUGAGUAGCGAAAGACGGGUGAGAAUCCCGUCCACCGAUUGACUAAGGUUUCCAGAGGAAGGCUCGUCCGCUCUGGGUUAGUCGGGUCCUAAGCUGAGGCCGACAGGCGUAGGCGAUGGAUAACAGGUUGAUAUUCCUGUACCACCUAGUAUCGUUUUAAUCGAUGGGGGGACGCAGUAGGAUAGGCGAAGCGUGCUGUUGGAGUGCACGUCCAAGCAGUAAGGCUGAGUGUUAGGCAAAUCCGGCACUCAUAAGGCUGAGCUGUGAUGGGGAGAGGAAAUUGUUUCCUCGAGUCGUUGAUUUCACACUGCCGAGAAAAGCCUCUAGAUAGAUAACAGGUGCCCGUACCGCAAACCGACACAGGUAGUCAAGAUGAGAAUUCUAAGGUGAGCGAGCGAACUCUCGUUAAGGAACUCGGCAAAAUGACCCCGUAACUUCGGGAGAAGGGGUGCUCUUUAGGGUUCACGCCCAGAAGAGCCGCAGUGAAUAGGCCCAAGCGACUGUUUAUCAAAAACACAGGUCUCUGCUAAACCGUAAGGUGAUGUAUAGGGGCUGACGCCUGCCCGGUGCUGGAAGGUUAAGAGGAGUGGUUAGCUUCUGCGA
rnacentral:rRNA from 1 species